rnacentral:lncRNA from 10 species
GCGAGAACGGCAAAUGGCGGUUGCAGAGGCUCGUCCGAAUUCUCGGCUCGCUGCUCCCUGGCUGGCGCGUGUUUGUUCAUUCUGGGCUAGCCGCCCCUUCAUCGCCACCGAUGAUCCAGUGGAGAAGCUGUGUUGGAGGUCAAGGGAUGGAGGCGAAACUGCGCGUUCUCGUCCCUGCAGAAACCGGAAUAUCCGAGACACAUGACGAACAUGAAACUUUCUCCUUGUCUCUUGGCUCCCACUCCGCUACACAGAUGAACGGUGUUACCUUCCCUCAUGUUACUUUGCUAAGCCUACUCCUCAGAGCUGGUCCUUUGCAUAACCUCUUCAAAUGCUCUCAACUCUCCCUUGCUCCUACAUAAUGGAGUAAUCAUAAGUGCAAUGAGAAAAGCAUGAGAUUUGAAGUUCCAUAAGUAUUGAGUCUAGGUUCUGGUGGUUAUUAACUCCAUGAUCUUAGGAAAGUAUCUGUCAGUGUUCUGUGUAAAACGGAAAUGCUAAUGUGUAUUUACCAGGACUUUUUCUUGCGAGAGGCAGAUGAAAUGUAUCUCCGUUUCAUGAGUAAGUUCAGAGAAUAUAAGUGACUUGUCCAAGGUCAGCAAGCUAAUGAGUGGGAAAGCUGAGGCUUGAGCCUAGACUGUCAACACCCAGGCCAAAGAUUCAUUGCCUGCUUUUCAUCUUAUGGAGUUAAACCUUGAUACACA